ensembl:lncRNA novel transcript, antisense to CBLN1
GCGGCAGCAGGGUUGGGCUCUCGCCGUGAGUCGACGAAGGGAGCGCGGGCGCGCGCCCGCGUCCGCGCACUGAGAGUCGCCUCGGCCGCUCGCUUUCUCGACUCCCGCCUCGCGCCUCGAUCCUGUUCCGCCUCCCUCGGCCCUCCUGCCCGCCCCCACUCGUCGGCCCUCAGGUACCUAAAAUGUCUCAUUAUUCAUCAAUUAAUGAAAAACAAAUGAAAAUUUGAGAGAGAUAUUCUGAAGAAUAAAAGGAUCAAGUUGGGUCAUUUCUAAAAUCUCAGAGACCUAAUAGGAUGGGGUCUUAGAGAAACAUCUUUUGAGCCACAGACUUCUUUGUUACCAGAAGGAAAAUGAAAGAAGAAAUUUAAAUACCACUUGAAGAGAGAGAGUGUGAAGAAAUGACCCUGAAAAGCCUCUGGCAGAGGAUUCUUCUUUCAGGAUGGUGUCGCCUCCUCAGCAGCCCAUCCUCCUCCCCUGGACUCAAGCUCUCAUUCCAGUAACACUCCUUCCUCCUUCUCCAUCUUCAGGGGGAGGUUUGCCAGUCGGUGAGAACCCUUUGUUAAGCUGUGUAACCUCUGUGCAUAGUUUCCUCAUCAGCAAAGUCAGAAAAAGUAUGUACCUGAAGGACUGAUUGUAAGGCUGGGAUGAGAGAAUCCAUGUGAUCAGCCCUCACCAACAGGUGCUGCCCAGUUCAUGAGUGCUGCUGCUGUCCUGCCCAAGUACCCAGCUUGCAGAGUGCCAGAGUUAGAGUCCCAGGGGUGUUCUCCACAGCUGCAUGCUUGAUCCAGGCCUAUCAGCAUUGUCUUUGAAUAUUAGCAAAUAAUGGAACAUGGGCCAAGGGUGAACCAUGACGAAUUUGUGUUCCAGCAGCCCUGCUUCUUUAGAAUUGACAGUCUGGCUUCGUGGUUAAUUCACAGCAUCUGAGGAAUACAUCCAAAGAGGGUGAUACUGUGGCAUGAUGGUACCAGGAUUCCAAGUUCAUUCCAGAUCAUUGGGUAGAGACUAGAAAUGUACCGAGCAGUGCGCAAAGAAGAUGAGGAGGGUUCUACAGUUUCUCCAGAUACAUACCAUGACAAUUUGUUUUUUUAAAAAAGAAGAAAGCCUGCAGGAAAAAAUCUACAACUUUCAUCAAAUUACUCAGGGAGACUUUAUUCUAAAGAGACUGAAAACGACCAACAUCAAUUUUGACUCCUAUGGGCAUCUGUAAAUAGCUUCAAGGUUUUAAGGUGAAAUGUCAUGUACCAAAAUACACAUUCUGGAGAAGCAGGAAGCUACAGACCAACUUGAGAUGAAAGUCUCAUAUCAAUGUUUUCCCAAGUGUGCUCCUUGGAAUACAGGUUGACAUGAUAUGAUGCCCAGCAAGGGAAACAAAACAUAUUCAUGUUCAAAUUAGUUGGGGAAAUGCUGGACUAAAUAAGGUUUGAUGGGAUUCUUUUUUCUGCAGGACUUCUCAGAAGGGGCUAGAGUAGGCAAAGUUUCCCAGAUUUACCUAAUAAAAGCAUUGUUUCUGUGGGAGUUUCAUUUGUUAUUACAUGUUUCCUGAAUGCAGAUUCAUAGACUAUCCUUUGGGGAACCCUCGUCCUCACGGGAUGUAUGUUCAUGGUGGUGUCUUCGAGUUUGUGCCCUUGUGAAGCAUUCUGGCAGCAAGCAUCUGAACACUUCCAAAAGGGGGCGAUAUUUAGGAGAAAUCGCUCAGCCUGAGUUAGAACAAAUGCAGCUGCUGGUGUCUCUUGGUGCCUGGGAGCCCUAGAGUGUCAGAGGGAGGAGCGUGCACACUGGAACCAGCAGCCUGGUGCUGCGUCUCAGCUCUGUCGCUAACUGGCUAUGCACCUCUGGGCAUGGCACUUAACCCUUCUGAGCCCCAGCCCGCCAUCUGUAAAAAGGGCUUGAUGUGAGGAUUGAAUGAGAUCAUGCAGGGAACACAAUGUCUGGCACUUGGAAGCGUCCACCAUAAAGAGCCAAGGCAGUAGAUGGCCCAGCUGGGUUUGGUCCAGGCAGAGUUUACCCUCUGCCCUGGAGGCUCCAGGAAAUGCUGCCACGUGGCUCCUAUUGCCUUAACCACAUCCGACCUGUUCCUGACAGCUCCCCACAUCUCCAGCUCCUUUGCUGGUGCUCCAGGCACCUCCAAACGUGGCGAGCCCCUCUCCCCUGCCCUCUUGUGGCAGCUGACCUGGCAGGAGUGGGACCAAGACAUCCAAGGCAGCUCCUUUCCACCUGCAUGGGCACUUUCCUCAGGACAUCCUUGCCCCUGGCACCACCUUGGGCCAGCAAGCCACAUGGAAAUGGAUGCAGAGGCACCACUGUUUGCUGACAAUUAUACACUGUCCUUAAGGUCACCCUUGGCGAUCUGUCACCAGGAGCAGACAAACCCACACCUCAACCAUCCCAUCAGAGCUUGUUUCUAUCUGCAUCUGUCAUCGCUGAUCGCAUUUGAAU